CUGGCCUGGCCCUGGGGCUGGUUUUGCUGCUCCCUGAGUCCCGCUGCUUCUCCCUCAGGAUCAGUCUCUUGGGAACUGGAGGCUGAAGAAAAAGAUUGGCGAGGGAGAAGAGGUGGCUUACAAAUUUACCCCAAAAUAUGUCCUCCGGGCUGGGCAGGCGGUCACAAUCUGGGCAGCUGAUGCUGGGGUGGCCCACAGCCCACCUUCUGUCCUUGUGUGGAAGCACCAGACCAGUUGGGGCACCGGGACCAGUGUCCGCACCUACCUGGUGAACUCUGAUGGAGAGGAAGUUGCUGUGAGGAGUUUGACUCAGUCAUCUGCUGUGCUGCAGGACAACGGGGAGGAAGAUGAGGAGGCAGAGUUUGGGGAGGAAGACCUCUUUCACCAGCAGGGGGAUCCCAGGACCACCUCCAGGGGCUGCACCGUCAUGUGAGAGGAAGGGAAACCGUCUCUGCUCGUCUUUUCUCCUUUUUUUGCUCUGCCCAGGGACUCUGCCCUGAGUCACUGAAACUAUUUUUAUACAUUGCAUAUGAUCACUCCUUUUCUUUCUUUUUCUUGGAGAUGGUUCCUUAGUAAACUUCUUAAAGAGAGAACUUGAAUCAGCCAGAACUGCCACCAUCUUUUGAAGACUUGCUUUCCCUUUGCAAUGCCCAUGGUCUACUUUGUUUGUUGUCUUACUUGCAAGCCAAAGAGUGAUGCAGCUCCAGGAGUUUCCGGGGAAGAGAAAGCAUGGCUGAAGUUGCCACUCUGGAGUGGACAGUCUGCUUCUGUGGCCCUCCUGUUCUUGUACUGGGGGGAGGUGGUCAAGCAGUGACCCUGGUGUAAGCCUGCCUGUGCCCUCAGGGGCAACCCCAGUGGUUGUGCAGAUAAAACCAGGUGGCAAAUGUGAGGAUUAGUGAUCUUUUCAUGCCAUUGACCCUAGGUGUGCCUCAGAAGGCCUGGACCUCCUAGGACAGAAUGACUCUGGAAACAGUUUGGGCAGCUCUGUGGAGCAUGGAGG